rnacentral:rRNA from 1 species
UACGAAGGGGGCUAGCGUUGCUCGGAAUCACUGGGCGUAAAGGGUGCGUAGGCGGGUCUUUUAAGUCAGGGGUGAAAUCCUGGAGCUCAACUCCAGAACUGCCUUUGAUACUGAAGAUCUUGAGUUCGGGAGAGGUGAGUGGAACUGCGAGUGUAGAGGUGAAAUCGUAGAUAUUCGCAAGAACACCAGUGGCGAAGGCGGCUCACUGGCCCGAUACUACG